rnacentral:rRNA from 1 species
GGAUGCGAUAAUACCAGCACUAAAGCACCGGAUCCCAUUAGAACUCCGAAGUUAAGCGUGCUUGGGCGAGAGUAGUACUAGGAUGGGUGACCUCCUGGGAAGUCCUCGUGUUGCAUUCC